rnacentral:rRNA from 1 species
UACGAAGGGGGCUAGCGUUGCUCGGAAUCACUGGGCGUAAAGCGCACGUAGGCGGAUUGUUAAGUCGGGGGUGAAAUCCUGGAGCUCAACUCCAGAACUGCCUUCGAUACUGGCGAUCUUGAGUCCGGGAGAGAUGAGUGGAACUGCGAGUGUAGAGGUGAAAUUCGUAGAUAUUCGCAAGAACACCAGUGGCGAAGGCGGCUCACUGGCCCGGUACUGACGCUGAGGUGCGAAAGCGUGGGGAGCAAACAGG